AAUCUAAACUUUCCUCUCUCGGUUGUCUGUGUCUUACGGUCCCUUUGUCUCUGAAGUGAUCCGUAUGCUGACUCUUUGAAACCAGACUCUGAGAUCCUCCAGGGCAAAGCUACAGUCCGUAAUCAAACUGGAGAAUUGAUUGCACAUUUUCUAUGAAGAACAAGAGUCAGGCAUUGGGUGAGAAUAACUUGUCUGAGUGAUAGUUUCAGAAAUUUAUUGGGGAGCAAAGCAUAUGUUUUGAACAGAGCUUUGCUCAAUGCUCAGGAAGGGACACAGUUUUUGUACAGGAGCGAGGUUAAGAGGAAACUUUGUGUAUACUUUCGGCUCAGGAACCAAAAUAGAGAUCAAACGGUCUGAUGCUCAGCCAUCUGUCUUCCUCUUCCACCCAUCUGAACAGCAGUUAGAGACCGGAACUGCCUCUGUCGUGUGCUUAGUGAAUGGCUUUUACCCCAAAGCUAUCAAAGUCAGUUGGAAAGUGGAUGGAGUUGUCCAAGCCAGCAACAUCCGGGAGAGUUUCACUGAGCAGGACAGCAAGGACAGCACAUACAGCCUCAGUAGCACCCUGACGCUGUCCGGGUCCGAGUACCAAAGCCAUAGUCUCUACACCUGCGAGGUCAGUCACCAGGCCCUGGCCUCCGCCCUGGUCAAGAGCUUCAAUAAGGACGAAUGUUAGAGCGAGAGGCCUGCAGGCUCGUCCAUCACCUGGGCUGGGUCCCAGCCCCCUUCCUCGCCUCUUCAGGCCUCGGGCCCUUUUCCCUAUUGCAGUCCUCAAGCCCAUCUCCCCACCUCACCGUCCUCCCCCUCUUUGGCUUUAAUCAUGCUAACGUUGGGGGGAAAAUGAAUAAAUAAAGUGAAUCUUUGCACCUGUG